rnacentral:rRNA from 1 species
GAUCCUGGCUCAGGACGAACGCUGGCGGCGUGCCUAAUACAUGCAAGUCGAGCGAUGAAGGAGAUACUUGUAUCUUUUGAAGAGCGGCGAACGGGUGAGUAACGCGUGGGGAAUCUGCCAAUGAGUGGGGGACAACAUUUGGAAACGAAUGCUAAUACCGCAUAAAAUCUAUUGAGACAUCUCAAGAGAUUGAAAGGAACAAUUGUUUCGCUCGUUGAUGAUCCCGCGUUGUAUUAG